AUUGAACGCUAGCGGCAUGCCUAACACAUGCAAGUCGAACGAGUGGCGAACGGGUGAGUAACACCUAGGAAUGUGCCUGGUAGUGGGGGAUAACUACCGGAAAGGUUCGCUAAUACCGCAUACUAUCAGAUCAGCCGAGUUCGGAUUAGCUGGUUGGUGGGGUAAAGGCCUACCAAGGCGACGAUCAGUAGCGGGUCUGAGAGGAUGAUCAGCCACACUGGAACUGAGACACGGCCCAGACUCCUACGGGAGGCAGCAGUGGGGAAUUUUGGACAAUGGGCGAAAGCCUGAUCCAGCCAUGCCGCGUGUGUGAAGAAGGCCUUCGGGUUGUAAAGGACUUUAGGCAGGGAAGCGGUACCUGAAGAAUAAGCACCGGCUAACUCCGUGCCAGCAGCCGCGGUAAUUC
rnacentral:rRNA from 1 species